UACGUAGGGUGCGAGCGUUAAUCGGAAUUACUGGGCGUAAAGCGUGCGCAGGCGGCUUCGCAAGUCAGGCGUGAAAUCCCCGGGCUUAACCUGGGAAUGGCGUCUGAAACUACGGAGCUGGAGUGUGGCAGAGGGAGGUAGAAUUCCACGUGUAGCGGUGAAAUGCGUAGAUAUGUGGAGGAACACCGGUGGCGAAGGCGGCGUCCUGGACCAAUACUGACACUGAGGAGCGAAAGCCAGGGGAGCAAACGGG
rnacentral:rRNA from 1 species